rnacentral:rRNA from 1 species
UGCAAGUCGAGCGGACCGACGGGAGCUUGCUCCCUUAGGUCAGCGGCGGACGGGUGAGUAACACGUGGGUAACCUGCCUGUAAGACUGGGAUAACUCCGGGAAACCGGGGCUAAUACCGGAUGCUUGAUUGAACCGCAUGGUUCAAUUAUAAAAGGUGGCUUUUAGCUACCACUUACAGAUGGACCCGCGGCGCAUUAGCUAGUUGGUGAGGUAACGGCUCACCAAGGCAACGAUGCGUAGCCGACCUGAGAGGGUGAUCGGCCACACUGGGACUGAGACACGGCCCAGACUCCUACGGGAGGCAGCAGUAGGGAAUCUUCCGCAAUGGACGAAAGUCUGACGGAGCAACGCCGCGUGAGUGAUGAAGGUUUUCGGAUCGUAAAACUCUGUUGUUAGGGAAGAACAAGUACCGUUCGAAUAGGGCGGUACCUUGACGGUACCUAACCAGAAAGCCACGGCUAACUACGUGCCAGCAGCCGCGGUAAUACGUAGGUGGCAAGCGUUGUCCGGAAUUAUUGGGCGUAAAGCGCGCGCAGGCGGUUUCUUAAGUCUGAUGUGAAAGCCCCCGGCUCAACCGGGGAGGGUCAUUGGAAACUGGGGAACUUGAGUGCAGAAGAGGAGAGUGGAAUUCCACGUGUAGCGGUGAAAUGCGUAGAGAUGUGGAGGAACACCAGUGGCGAAGGCGACUCUCUGGUCUGUAACUGACGCUGAGGCGCGAAAGCGUGGGGAGCGAACAGGAUUAGAUACCCUGGUAGUCCACGCCGUAAACGAUGAGUGCUAAGUGUUAGAGGGUUUCCGCCCUUUAGUGCUGCAGCAAACGCAUUAAGCACUCCGCCUGGGGAGUACGGUCGCAAGACUGAAACUCAAAGGAAUUGACGGGGGCCCGCACAAGCGGUGGAGCAUGUGGUUUAAUUCGAAGCAACGCGAAGAACCUUACCAGGUCUUGACAUCCUCUGACAACCCUAGAGAUAGGGCUUCCCCUUCGGGGGCAGAGUGACAGGUGGUGCAUGGUUGUCGUCAGCUCGUGUCGUGAGAUGUUGGGUUAAGUCCCGCAACGAGCGCAACCCUUGAUCUUAGUUGCCAGCAUUCAGUUGGGCACUCUAAGGUGACUGCCGGUGACAAACCGGAGGAAGGUGGGGAUGACGUCAAAUCAUCAUGCCCCUUAUGACCUGGGCUACACACGUGCUACAAUGGGCAGAACAAAGGGCAGCGAAGCCGCGAGGCUAAGCCAAUCCCACAAAUCUGUUCUCAGUUCGGAUCGCAGUCUGCAACUCGACUGCGUGAAGCUGGAAUCGCUAGU